rnacentral:lncRNA from 1 species
AUAAAAGCAAAACACUUCCCUUUCCUUUGGGAGGUUUCUAUUUAGUUUAUGAGAUAUACCAUAAUAGAAUACCUGUCAUUUCGCCUUGUCGAGAGGUUUUUCCUUUUCAGCUCGAAUCUUGAUCAACUUUGAUGGUAUCCAAAGUUUUUCUUCUCCUGGGGAAACCAAUGCAAAACCCCUUCCCCAACGUAACACAUGUCCUGGUUUCCAUACAGAGGUCAGUACAUCUUUGAAGUAUACUGGCUGAUUCAAUUAUGCAGGUUUUUUUUUCUGUACAGUGUCUUUCUACAGCUGUUUGUCCUUUCUCAUCAGAAUUAAGAAACUUUAGUGUUAAUAACACAUUAUGUAACCUAUGUUUUUGGGGGGGUUGUUCCCCCAGGCUGUUUGUGGACAUUUCUCUUAGUGUUCUAUUAGAUCUCUCUACCACUGCUUGUCCUGUAGGAUUGUGUGGAAUACCGGUUAUAUGCGUUAUGUUAAAAUAUUUGAAAAACUGCUCCAAUUUAGUAGAGACAUAUAAUUUUAGCUUCUUUGUCAAAAAUCAGGUGUUCAUAGGUGUGUGGGUUAACAUGCAGGUUUUCAAUUGAAUUCCAUUGGUCUAUCUGUCUAUUUUGUGCCCAUACCAAGCUGUUUUCAGGACUAUGGCUCUAUAAUAGAGCUUGAAGACAAGGAUGGUGAUACCUCCAGAAGUUCUUUAUUGUACAGGGUUUGUUUUGACUAUCCUGGGUUUUUUGUUUUUCCAUAUGAAAUUGAGUACUGUUCUUUCAAGGUCUGUGAAGAAUUGUGUUGGGAUUUUGAUGGGGAUUUCGUUGAAUCUGUAGAUUACUUUUGCAAGAUUGCCAUUUUAUUAUGUUAAUUCUACAUAUCUAAGAGCAUGGAAGAUCUUUCCAUUUUCUAGUAUCAUCUUUAAUUUCUUUCUUUACAGACUCAAAGUUCUUACUAUACAUGUGUUUCACUUUUUUGGUUAGCGUUACCAAAAGAUAUUUUAUGUUGUUUGUGGAUACUGUUAAGGUUGAUGUUUCUCUGAUUUCUUUC